ACAGCAGCAGCCGCGGGAAUACGGAGGGUGCAAGCGUUAAUCGGAAUUACUGGGCGUAAAGCGCACGCAGGCGGUCUGACAAGUCAGAUGUGAAAUCCCCGGGCUUAACCUGGGAACUGCAUUUGAAACUGUCAGGCUGGAGUCUUGUAGAGGGGGGUAGAAUUCCAGGUGUAGCGGUGAAAUGCGUAGAGAUCUGGAGGAAUACCGGUGGCGAAGGCGGCCCCCUGGACAAAGACUGACGCUCAGGUGCGAAAGCGUGGGGAGCAAACAGGAUUAGAGACCCGCGUAGUCCCUGUCUCUUAUAC
rnacentral:rRNA from 1 species